AACUCAUAAUGAAGGCACAACCAUAACAUCUCCUUAAAACACACUCAUGUUUCAUAAAAUGAUUCUUACACCUUCUUAGGCAAAACUAGUGAUUUGAUUCCUUAAUU